GAUGAACGCUGGCGGCGUGCCUAAUACAUGCAAGUCGAGCGAACAGACGAGGAGCUUGCUCCUCUGACGUUAGCGGCGGACGGGUGAGUAUCACGUGGAUAACCUACCUAUAAGACUGGGAUAACUUCGGGAAACCGGAGCUAAUACCGGAUAAUAUAUUGAACCGCAUGGUUCAAUAGUGAAAGACGGUUUUGCUGUCACUUAUAGAUGGAUCCGCGCCGCAUUAGCUAGUUGGUAAGGUAACGGCUUACCAAGGCGACGAUGCGUAGCCGACCUGAGAGGGUGAUCGGCCACACUGGAACUGAGACACGGUCCAGACUCCUACGGGAGGCAGCAGUAGGGAAUCUUCCGCAAUGGGCGAAAGCCUGACGGAGCAACGCCGCGUGAGUGAUGAAGGUCUUCGGAUCGUAAAACUCUGUUAUUAGGGAAGAACAAAUGUGUAAGUAACUAUGCACGUCUUGACGGUACCUAAUCAGAAAGCCACGGCUAACUACGCG
rnacentral:rRNA from 1 species